rnacentral:rRNA from 2 species
UGGGCGUAAGCGCGCGCAGGCGGUUUCUUAAGUCUGAUGUGAAAGCCCACGGCUCAACCGUGGAGGGUCAUUGGAAACUGGGGAACUUGAGUGCAGAAGAGAAAAGCGGAAUUCCACGUGUAGCGGUGAAAUGCGUAGAGAUGUGGAGGAACACCAGUGGCGAAGGCGGCUUUUUGGUCUGUAACUGACGCUGAGGCGCGAAAGCGUGGGGAGCAAACAGGAUUAUAUACCCUGGUAUUCCUCGCCGUAGACGAUGAGUGCUAAGUGUUAGAGGGUUUCCUCCCCCCCCUGUUGCGGCUAACGCAUU